ensembl:lncRNA
UAUGAAAAGGGUAGCAUUUCAAAAAUGCAGGAUUCCACUUUCUCACUGAUUUGUAAACAUUGUCCCUCAUCAUUGUCCUUGGAGUCUUUCACAGAUCUUAUUGUCACUUAAUUAACUGCCCUCUCUCUCUCCCUCCCUCUUCCCCCUGUGUAGCUAUAAUUGGCAAAAUACAUAAAUAUUACUUCAUUAAUUCAUGCUAGUUACUUGCUAGUGAUUUUAACAUAUAUGAGGCAGCUGAAGAGAUCGGUAGUUUUUUAAUAUUUGAGAGAAUAAUUAGAAGUGGAUGAAGUGAGUUUGGAAUUAUUUUGUACCAAGUAAUCUGCAGACUCAUAGUUCUCUGGCCUUAUGUUAUUUAUUACUGUUCAUAUAGGGAAAAGCAUGAUGUUUAUUAUUCUUCAGAACAAGAUUUAUAGGGAUAAAUGAUGAACCACAGUGCAUGCAGAAUGUCAUCUUCUCAAUUUAUUGGGAUGCAAAAUAAAAGGCAACUAAAAUAGGACAAUGCUCUUUCAGCAAAGGUAUCUGGUAUGUUUAGAAAGAAAGGACAGUAUCCAGUCUCAUGCCAUCUGGACCACUGAGACUAAUUAUACUAAAAAUCAACACUAAUGUAGGAAAGAAAUGGCUUUCUUUUGCCUCAUAUCAGCUUGUCUGUGUGGUAUAAAACAUGGAUAUGUCAACUCUGCUGUCACCGGGGGCAUGCAGUGAGGAAUUCAGAGACUCUAUAAGCAGGAACAAAUACAUCCUGACAUUCAACCUUUACCAAAAAGUACUGAGUCUCCAUAAUCUGUUGGUAACAGUAACCAAGCUGAAUAAUGAUCCAGAAAAUCACGGGUAGUGCAAUACAGAAGAUAAAGCAAUCUCCUUCUGCCUCUGCAGGUUCUUGGGAUGGCCUAUUGCCAUGCCAGUCAACACCUUUGAUGGGUGGAUUCAUUUGCGCAGUACAGCUGAUAGACAGAACUCCAAGGUCGUUUUCCCUGCCGUUCCCCUUCAGACUAUUGUCUAUCAGUGUGAUUCCCCAGGGGCUCAUAGGAAAGUAUAUGACUAGUGUCAACAGCUGAUAGCUACCUGAGAAUGAACGGAAGAUACAUACUUACCACAUCUUUGAGUCCUUCUGUCUCUACAGAGAUUCAGCAAGGGAUUUACAGACCAUCAUAUCCAAUCUUGAUAAAAGUCAAAAGACUAGGAGCCAAAUGAGAACAGGUCCCUCAUAUAAGCCUGUUAUUUUGACACUCAGCAGUUUCAUUAAUAAGAAAGUUUUGUUCUGGUUUUAUAGCGCUGCUUUGUUCCUACAUUAUUCCUUAAAAAAAAGUUUCAUCAUCCUUCAGAAACUCUAAGUUUUCCUGAGAUGCUCUGCUAGCUGACAGCAAAGUGAUAUAUAGCAAGGAAGUGAAGGGUUAUAAAAGAGAGCAAAAGAAGGCAGUAUCUUUGUUUCAGCUGUGAUAGAAUUGUUUUCUUCAGAGUGUCUGAUAUGAUGUUAUGUUUUGGUUCAUGGAGAAAAACAAUGUUAAUAACACAUUGAUGUUUAUUUACAGUUGUUGCUAAGCAGUGUUGUACAGAGCCAAGGCUACUCUCAGUGAAGGGCCCAAGGAGCUGGGAGGAAAUGGAAUUAGGACAGCUGACUUAAACUGGCCAAAGGGAUAUUCCAUACCAUAUGAUGUCAUGCAGAAGGAGUUUUGAAGGGAGUGGAAGUUCAUUGCCCUCUUCUGCUGCUCAGGGAGCUGGCUGGGCAUUGGUCGGCAGAGUGGUGAGAAAUUGCUUGUGCAUCUCUUGUUAUAUAUAUUUAUACACAUAAAUAUAUAUGUAAUUACUAUUAUCCUUUUCCUUUCUUCUAUCUUAGUAAAUAGUUUUAUCUCAACCCACAAGUUCUACUUCUUUUUUUUUUUUUCGAUUCUCUCCCCCGUUCCACUGGAAAGAGGGGGAGUGAGUGAACAACUGUGGGGUGCUGAGCUACCAGCCAGAUUAAAGCACAACAGGCAGCCAAGUAGUCAUGCUCAGUGCAUUACCUGGAUUAACUGUAGUGGUUAGAAAAAGGGCUAUUACUUGACUAAAUAAUGUCUG